rnacentral:rRNA from 1 species
AGGUAAGCUACUAAGAGCGAAUGGUGGAUGCCUUGACUGGUAAAGGCGAUGAAGGACGUACUAGACUGCGAUAAGCUACGGGGAGCUGUCAAGAAGCUUUGAUCCGUAGAUUUCCGAAUGGGGCAACCCAAUGUAUAGAGAUAUACAUUACCUAUAUAGGAGCGAACGAGGGGAAUUGAAACAUCUUAGUACCCUCAGGAAAAGAAAUCAAUAGAGAUUGCGUCAGUAGCGGCGAGCGAAAGCGCAAGAGGGCAAACCCAGUGCUUGCACUGGGGGUUGUAGGACUGUAAUGUGCAAGAGGUAAGUUUAGCAGAACAUUCUGGAAAGUAUAACCAUAGAGGGUGAUAGUCCCGUAUGCGAAAAACAAACCUUAGCUAGCAGUAUCCUGAGUAGGGCGGGACACGAGGAAUCCUGUCUGAAUCCGGGUCGACCACGAUCCAACCCUAAAUACUAAUACCAGAUCGAUAGUGCACAAGUACCGUGAGGGAAAGGUGAAAAGAACUGAGGUGAUCAGAGUGAAAUAGAACCUGAAACCAUUUGCUUACAAUCAUUCAGAGCCUUAUGUAGCAAUACAGGGUGAUGGACUGCCUUUUGCAUAAUGAGCCUGCGAGUUGUGGUGUCUGGCAAGGUUAAGCAAACGCGAAGCCGUAGCGAAAGCGAGUCUGAAUAGGGCGCUUAGUCAGAUGCUGCAGACCCGAAACGAAGUGAUCUAUCCAUGAGCAAGUUGAAGCUAGUGUAAGAACUAGUGGAGGACUGAACCCAUAGGCGUUGAAAAGCCCCGGGAUGACUUGUGGAUAGGGGUGAAAGGCCAAUCAAACUUCGUGAUAGCUGGUUCUCUCCGAAAUAUAUUUAGGUAUAGCGUUGUGUCGUAAUAUAAGGGGGUAGAGCACUGAAUGGGCUAGGGCAUACACCAAUGUACCAAACCCUAUCAAACUCCGAAUACCUUAUAUGUAAUCACAGCAGUCAGGCGGCGAGUGAUAAAAUCCGUCGUCAAGAGGGAAACAACCCAGACUACCAGCUAAGGUCCCUAAAUCUUACUUAAGUGGAAAACGAUGUGAAGUUACUUAAACAACCAGGAGGUUGGCUUAGAAGCAGCCAUCCUUUAAAGAAAGCGUAAUAGCUCACUGGUCUAGUGAUUUUGCGCGGAAAAUAUAACGGGGCUAAAGUAAGUACCGAAGCUGUAGACUUGCGCACAACUUAGAUUAUUUAAGUUUAGAAUAUGAGAAACUAAGUUAUAUGUUUAGUUAUAUUUUUACUGAUUUUUAUAGAGUAAAGAUAGAAAUAAAACUUAGUAAAAUCAGUAAAAAUAUUCUUAGACUAAAGUUAAGUAGUUUAAGUUGUGUGCAAGUGGUAGGAGAGCGUUCUAUUUGCGUCGAAGGUAUACCGGUAAGGAGUGCUGGAGCGAAUAGAAGUGAGCAUGCAGGCAUGAGUAGCGAUAAUUAAUGUGAGAAUCAUUAACGCCGUAAACCCAAGGUUUCCUACGCGAUGCUCGUCAUCGUAGGGUUAGUCGGGUCCUAAGUCGAGUCCGAAAGGGGUAGACGAUGGCAAAUUGGUUAAUAUUCCAAUACCAACAUUAGUGUGCGAUGGAAGGACGCUUAGGGCUAAGGGGGCUAGCGGAUGGAAGUGCUAGUCUAAGGUCGUAGGAGGUUAUACAGGCAAAUCCGUAUAACAAUACUCCGAGAACUGAAAGGCUUUUUGAAGUCUUCGGAUGGAUAGAAGAACCCCUGAUGCCGUCGAGCCAAGAAAAGUUUCUAAGUUUAGCUAAUGUUGCCCGUACCGUAAACCGACACAGGUGGGUGGGAUGAGUAUUCUAAGGCGCGUGGAAGAACUCUCUUUAAGGAACUCUGCAAAAUAGCACCGUA